rnacentral:rRNA from 1 species
UGGGGAAUUUUGGACAAUGGGGGAAACCCUGAUCCAGCCAUCCCGCGUGUGCGAUGAAGGCCUUCGGCUUGUAAAGCACUUUUGGCAGGAAAGAAACGUCAUGGGUUAAUACCCCGUGAAACUGACGGUACCUGCAGAAUAAGCACCGGCUAACUACGUGCCAGCAGCCGCGGUAAUACGUAGGGCGCAAGCGUUAAUCGGAAUUACUGGGCGUAAAGCGUGCGCAGGCGGUUCGGAAAGAAAGAUGUGAAAUCCCAGAGCUCAACUUUGGAACUGCUUUGUUAACUACCUGGCUAGAGUGUGUCAGAGGGAGGUGGAAUUCCGCGUGUAGCAGUGAAAUGCGUAGAUAUGCGGAGGAACACCGAUGGCGAAGGCAGCCUCCUGAGAUAACACUGACGCUCAUGCACGAAAGCGUGGGUAGCAAACAGG